rnacentral:tRNA from 2 species
ACGGAAGUAGUUCAGUUGGUAGAACGUCGGUCUCCAAAACCGAAAGUCGUGAGUUCGAGCCUUACCUUCCGUG